UACGGUCACAUCAUGCUGAAACACUGGUUCCCGUACAAUUGCUGAAGUUAAGCAACAUCGAGCCUGACCAGUGCUUAGAUGGGUGACUGCUUGGUAAUACUUGGUGCAGUU